rnacentral:lncRNA from 1 species
ACUGUCUCCAGUACCCGCCAGCAGGGCGCCAGGAAGUCUCCAUACUUGCUGGCUGUCAGGAUCUGACCCCCGGGGUCCCGACUAGGUGCAAAGGGGACGGUGAGAGGCACAGCUGUCUCCCCCAGCCUAAGCUGCUCAAGCUUCGCCCCAGCGCCCAGCCCUGUUUGGCCCCAAGGGUGACCCCCUCUCCCAGUAGCCAGAGCCUGGCAGGGGGAGACCCCAAGGAGGUAGAAACAAUAACGUAUAGAAGUUGUGCCAUAUCAGAAAAGUGGCUUCACACAAGAUGGGACAGCACACGGGUUUCCUGUUACUGGCAUUUGUGGAGCCCAAGUACAAGCAGAAGUGUGCUGAUUCCCACGCAGUUGCAAUUUCUGUCGUUAGCCACAGAUUUAGACAUGUCUCCUUGCCAGACAUGGUUAGCUGUUCCUGCUCUGCUGCAGACCAAGUGGACGAGGAGCUGGAAACUGAUGAGUGGCCUCACCAAGGGCAUCUCCUGUCCUAACCCUGUCCCUGUGCCACAGAGACCUGGAUGCUGCCUUCGAGAUCCGGGAACCCCAAACUUCUGGGUGACAGGAGAACCUUGUUUAUGUGAC